rnacentral:tRNA from 1 species
CAGUUUAAAGCUUAAUUAGUGAAGUGUUUUAUUUACAUUAAAAAGAAAUACGUGCAAGUCGUUUUAAAUUGA